GGAUUAGAUACCCUGGUAGUCCAUGCAGUAAACGAUGAGUGCUAGAUGUUGGGAGUUUAAACUUCCAGUAUCGCAGUUAACGCGUUAAGCACUCCGCCUGGGAAGUACGGCCGCAAGGCUAAAACUCAAAUGAAUUGACGGGGACCCGCACAAGCGGUGGAUCAUGUGGUUUAAUUCGAAGAUACGCGAAGAACCUUACCGGCUCUUGACAUACCAAUCGCGGACUUAAGAGAUUAAGUCUUUCACUUCGGGUGGAUUGGAUACAGGUGCUGCAUGGCUGUCGUCAGCUCGUGCCG
rnacentral:rRNA from 1 species